UAAGUGCGCGUUUGUUGUGCAGCCGGGUUCUCUGAGGUAUCACUGCAUGUGUCUCGCUUCGCGCUGCUGCGGCAUGUGGUUUGUGCAGUAAAAUACGCUCCACGUGUGCGACAGAAGAAACCCUCAGGCUGUCAGAAAUGUCCCAGGAGCAGCUUUGAAAGGGCAGAUUUGAUUUGAAAGACGCCACACGGUGCUGUGUAUGCAAGAAGAACAUGCAUUGCUUUUAAAAAAAGGUGCUGAGCAAAUGUGCCUUUUAAGGUCACAUCUUCAGAAAGGAUGACUGAGGUCAGAUAUAACAUUAUUAAAUAUAGUGUUUUCUGGAGGCAGGAGGAGAGUGAGUAAUGGUUUAAUGAUCUCUGCCUUGUACAAUUUAAAGUUGUUUCUCAUGAAGAACUU